UAGGGAAUCUUCGGCAAUGGGGGGAACCCUGACCGAGCAACGCCGCGUGAGUGAAGAAGGUUUUCGGAUCGUAAAGCUCUUUUGUUAAGGAAGAACGAGUGUGAGAAUGGAAAGUUCAUACUGUGACGGUACUUAACCAGAAAGGGACGGCUAACUACGUGCCAGCAGCCGCGGUAAUACGUAGGUCCCGAGCGUUGUCCGGAUUUAUUGGGCGUAAAGCGAGCGCAGGCGGUUAGAUAAGUCUGAAGUUAAAGGCAGUGGCUCAACCAUUGUAGGCUUUGGAAACUGUGUAACUUGAGUGCAGAAGGGGGGAGUGGAAUUCCAUGUGUAGCGGUGAAAUGCGUAGAUAUAUGGAGGAACACCGGUGGCGAAAGCGGCUCUCUGGUCUGUAACUGACGCUGAGGCUCGAAAGCGUGGGGAGCGAACAGG
rnacentral:rRNA from 1 species